GGGUUUCCGCCCUUCAGUNNNGCAGCAAACGCAUUAAGCACUCCGCCUGGGGAGUACGACCGCAAGGUUGAAACUCAAAGGAAUUGACGGGGGNNNNCACAAGCGGUGGAGCAUGUGGUUUAAUUCGAAGCAACGCGAAGAACCUUACCAGGUCUUGACAUCCUUUGACCACUCUAGAGAUAGAGCUUCCCCUUCGGGGGCAAAGUGACAGGUGGUGCAUGGUUGUCGUCAGCUCGUGUCGUGAGAUGUUGGGUUAAGUCCCGCAACGAGCGCAACCCUUAUAGUUAGUUGCCAUCAUUUAGUUGGGCACUCUAGCGAGACUGCCGGUGACAAACCGGAGGAAGGUGGGGAUGACGUCAAAUCAUCAUGCCCCUUAUGACCUGGGCUACACACGUGCUACAAUGGGAAGUACAACGAGUUGCGAAGUCGCGAGGCUAAGCUAAUCUCUUAAAGCUUCUCUCGGUUCGGAUUGUAGGCUGCAACUCGCCUACAUGAAGCCGGAAUCGCUAGUAAUCGCGGAUCAGCACGCCGCGGUGAAUACGUUCCCGGGCCUUGUACACACCGCCCGUCACACCACGAGAGUUUGUAACACCCGAAGUCGGNNANGNAACCUUUUUGGAGCCAACCGCCUNNNGUGGGAUAGAUNNNUNNGGUGAAGUCGUAACAAGGUAACC
rnacentral:rRNA from 1 species